AGCGAUGAAACUUUAACAGAACCCUUCGGGGCGAAGAUAAAGUGGAUUAGCGGCGGACGGGUGAGUAACACGUGAGUAACCUGCCUUAGACAUUGGGAUAGCCUCGGGAAACCGGGAUUAAUACCAAAUAAAAUCAUAAUGACACAUGUCAUAACGAUCAAAACUCCGGUGGUCUAAGAUGGACUCGCGUCCCAUUAGCUAGUUGGUAGAGUAAAAGCCUACCAAGGCGACGAUGGGUAGCCGGCCUGAGAGGGUGAACGGCCACAUUGGAACUGAGAAACGGUCCAAACUCCUACGGGAGGCAGCAGUGGGGAAUAUUGCACAAUGGAGGGAACUCUGAUGCAGCGACGCCGCGUGAACGAAGAAGGCUUUCGAGUCGUAAAGUUCUUUUAUAUGGGAAGAUAAUGACGGUACCAUAAGAAAAAGCCCCGGUUAACUACGUGCCAGCAGCCGCGGUAAUACGUAGGGGGCUAGCGUUGUCCGGAAUCACUGGGCGUAAAGGGUUCGCAGGCGGAAAUGCAAGUCAGAUGUAAAAGGCAGUAGCUUAACUACUGUAAGCAUUUGAAACUGCAUAUCUUGAGAAGAGUAGAGGUAAGUGGAAUUUUUAGUGUAGCGGUGAAAUGCGUAGAUAUUAAAAAGAAUACCGG
rnacentral:rRNA from 2 species